rnacentral:tRNA from 1 species
GGUCAUGAAGUGUAUGGCACGCCGAAUUGCAAAUUCGGAGGAGCAGCUGAGGUUGCCUUGACUU